UCUUGGUUAGCUCAGCUGGUGGAGCGCUCCACUGGAAAUGGAGAGGCCCCUGGUUCGAUACCGGGAGUCCAGGAC
rnacentral:tRNA from 1 species